rnacentral:rRNA from 1 species
CGAACUGUCGGGCUUGAAUGACACUGCCGUGGGAGGAAUGUGUGGUGUAGCGGUGAAAUGCAUAGAGAUCACACAGAACACCGAUUGCGAAGGCAUCUCACGAAGUGUUGAUUGACGCUGAGGCACGAAAGCGUGGGGAUCAAACAGGAUUAGAUACCCUGGUAGUCCACGCAGUAAACGAUGAUGGCUAACCGCUGGGGCGUACGCUUCAGUGGCCAAGCGAAAGCGAUAAGCCAUCCACCUGGGGAGUACGACCGCAAGGUUGAAACUCAAAGGAAUUGACGGGGGCCCGCACAAGCGGAGGAACAUGUGGUUUAAUUCGAUGAUACGCGAGGAACCUUACCCGGGCUCGAACGGCAGCUGAACGAUGCAGAGAUGCAAAGGCCCUUCGGGGCGGCUGUCGAGGUGCUGCAUGGUUGUCGUCAGCUCGUGCCGUGAGGUGUCGGCUCAAGUGCCAUAACGAGCGCAACCCUUGCCGUCAGUUACCAUCAAGUAGUGUUGGGGACUCUGGCGGGACUGCCACCGCAAGGUGUGAGGAAGGGGGGGAUGACGUCAAAUCAGCACGGCCCUUACGUCCGGGGCGACACACGUGUUACAAUGGCGGCCACAGAGGGGCACUACCUGGUGACAGGAUGGGAAUCUCGAAAAGCCGUCUCAGUCCGGAUCGGAGUCUGCAACCCGACUCCGUGAAGCUGGAUUCGCUAGUAAUCGCGCAUCAGCCAUGGCGCGGUGAAUACGUUCCCGGGCCUUGUACACACCGCCCGUCAAGCCAUGAAAGUCUGGGGCGCCUGAAGUCCGUGACCGAGAGGAGCGGCCUAGGGCGAAACAGGUAAUUGGGGCUAAGUCGUAACAAGGUAACCCGGGCGGCCGCU